AUCGCCAAGAUAGACCGUGGAUCGGCAGCCCAAAACUCCCGCCUGGUGGAGGAGGUGUUCCACGACAUCAAGGGCCGACGAGCCGCCAUCAUCAGGGCGCUCACCACCGAUUUCGAGGACUUCUAUCAACAAUGCGAUCCCGGAAACAUGCAGGGAGCAAUUCAAGCACUCUGUUUGCACGGGAAUGCCCUUAAGUGAGGUGUUCUCUAACACAUGCGUGUGAACCCAGCGAUGUUACCUACUGUGUUUUCACGUUUUGAGUCAGUUUCUCCUACACAGUUGGAAGAGCAUGGUUUUGAAAGCACGACUAUCCGGGAUGUUCUUACAGCUAAGGGGAAGAAUGCUGAUGGUUCCUGGCUGUGGUGCACAACUAAUGACACUGUUUAUGAUGCUGUCAAAUCUAUGACACAACACAAUGUUGGAGCUUUAGUGGUGGUGAGACCCGGAGAAGAGAAGGCAAUUGCUGGAAUUGUUACUGAGAGAGGUAAU